rnacentral:rRNA from 1 species
UACGUAGGGUGCGAGCGUUUGUCCGGAAUUAUUGGGCGUAAAGAGCUUGUAGGCGGUUUGUCGCGUCUGCUGUGAAAAUCCGGGGCUCAACCCCGGACUUGCAGUGGGUACGGGCAGGCUAGAGUGUGGUAGGGGAGACUGGAAUUCCUGGUGUAGCGGUGGAAUGCGCAGAUAUCAGGAGGAACACCGAUGGCGAAGGCAGGUCUCUGGGCCACUACUGACGCUGAGACGCGAAAAGCGUGGGGAGCGAACAGG